rnacentral:tRNA from 1 species
GAAGAAUUGAUUGCUCAGGUUUAGUGCAUCCCGAUUUUUCAAUCGGGAGGGUCGUAGGUUCGAAUCCUACAUUUCCCACAA